rnacentral:rRNA from 1 species
AGUGAACGCUGGCGGUAGGCCUAACACAUGCAAGUCGAACGGCAGCACAGUAAGAGCUUGCUCCUACGGGUGGCGAGUGGCGGACGGGUGAGGAAUACAUCGGAAUCUACUUUUUCGUGGGGGAUAACGUAGGGAAACUUACGCUAAUACCGCAUACAACCUACGGGUGAAAGCAGGGGAUCUUCGGACCUUGCGCGAUUGAAUGAGCCGAUGUCGGAUUAGCUAGUUGGCGGGGUAAAGGCCCACCAAGGCGACGAUCCGUAGCUGGUCUGAGAGGAUGAUCAGCCACACUGGAACUGAGACACGGUCCAGACUCCUACGGGAGGCAGCAGUGGGGAAUAUUGGACAAUGGGCGCAAGCCUGAUCCAGCCAUACCGCGUGGGUGAAGAAGGCCUUCGGGUUGUAAAGCCCUUUUGUUGGGAAAGAAAAGCAGCAGGUUAAUACCCCGCUGUUCUGACGGUACCCAAAGAAUAAGCACCGGCUAACUUCGUG